UGGGGAAUAUUGGACAAUGGGCGCAAGCCUGAUCCAGCCAUGCCGCGUGAGUGAUGAAGGCCCUAGGGUUGUAAAGCUCUUUUACCGGUGAAGAUAAUGACGGUAACCGGAGAAGAAGCCCCGGCUAACUUCGUGCCAGCAGCCGCGGUAAUACGAAGGGGGCUAGCGUUGUUCGGAUUUACUGGGCGUAAAGCGCACGUAGGCGGACUAUUAAGUCAGGGGUGAAAUCCCGGGGCUCAACCCCGGAACUGCCUUUGAUACUGGUAGUCUUGAGUUCGAGAGAGGUGAGUGGAAUUCCGAGUGUAGAGGUGAAAUUCGUAGAUAUUCGGAGGAACACCAGUGGCGAAGGCGGCUCACUGGCUCGAUACUGACGCUGAGGUGCGAAAGCGUGGGGAGCAAACAGG
rnacentral:rRNA from 1 species